UACCAAUUCACCACAUGUCUGCCGUUUUCCAAGAUGGAGCAGAGGACAUCGGGACAUCCUAGGCGUCCUGCCUGCCGAUGGGGGCAAGCUCGGCCCUCGGGGCGGGGCAGGAACAGCCAGGGGACGGCGACCUUGAGGGCGGGGCACGCGUAUGUCGGCGAAGGCGAGCACGGGGCAGGUCUAGGCCGGCGGCGGCGAGCACGGGGCGGGGAAGCCGCGUGCCAGGGAUGGCGCCCCUGGGCGGAGCAGGCGUGGCCCUAGGACGACGACCUUGGGCCGACGACGGCACGGGCCCAAGGGCGGAGCACGCUCAAGCUGGCGGUGGCCACGUCGGGCGGACCAGGCAGGGGCGGCGGCGGCCAUGUUGGGGCUAAGCAGGCAGUGGCCGGCGGCGGAGAAAAACGGUGGUGCCAGAUGAAGAAGACAACAAAUUAAAGCUCUUCCUCACAUACACAUGUCGAAUGUUGGGAUUGGGAAGCAGAAAAUUCUGGUGUGCCUGAACCUGUCUCAACAAGAUUGAGGUAACUGAUUGAGAUGAACAGAAAACCUAACACAGUGUAUGACAUGAAUUUAGAGGUUUACCGGGGGUGAUGCUGGUCUUGAGGCUUUAAAUGACAUUUUGCCUUCUUUCUCAUAUAGGCCUGAAAUUGGCUGAGUGAGGGAGGGCCUGCGAGGAUGUUUGUGAGGGUGAGGCUGACGGAUGGGUCGUGGUACCAGUAGCCGUUCCGGCUCCCUGGACGCUGCUGGUUGGUACUGUCUACUCCGAUGAGGAGAAACUCCGGCUGGUGGCACACAAUUUUUUCCUUAUGCACUAGAGAGAUUCUUAUAUCUAAAAUAUUCUCUGUCAGUACUGGUGGAAAACUUGAGGCGCUACUGAGCUUCGGUUAGUUCAAGCUGCAAUUGGGCAAUUAUACAAGUUCACCCUUAUAUAACUCCUUUUGGAUCCGUAUAACCAGAUCAAGUUAAUAUGCUGCUCCUUGCUUCUACUUCUGAAUUUCUUCAUCACCGUUGUAUUUUGUUUUCAUUUUGACCUAUAAAAAAUGAUAUCUUACUAUUUUUGUUGUUGCAAAGUUAGCUGAACCAUAGAUACAGCCAUUCCCAUAUGGUGCUGAUAGUAUUGUGCUGCAAGUUUGCAUGUUCAUGAAAGAGGAAUUUAGAGCAUCCUAGGAAGGGUUCUUAUAUCUAAAAUAUUAUCUGUCAGUACUGGUGGAAAACUUGAGGUAUGUAGAGGUUUAAUCUUUUGGAAUGUAAUUCUCAUGAUUGUUUCCUGCAGAGUUUUUCUCUUUGAUAUAAUAAAUGCAUUACCAUUUAGUUUUGUAGUUUUAAGAGUAAUGUUUAAAGUCUAAUUGUAUUCCUCUUUCAUGAACAAUUCACAAUUACAUCUUCAGGCGCUACUGAGCUUCGGUUAGUUAAGCUGCAAUUGGGCAAUUAUACAAGUUCACCCUUAUAUAACUCCUUUUGGAUCCGUAUAACCAGAUCAAGUUAAUAUGCUGCUCCUUGCUUCUACUUCUGAAUUUCUUCAUAUCCGUUGUAUUUUGUUUUCAUUUUGACAUAUAAAAAAUGAUAUCUUACUAUUUUUGUUGUUGCAAAGUUAGCUGAACCAUAGAUACAGCCAUUCCCAUAUGGUGCUGAUAGUAUUGUGCUGCAAGUUUGCAUGUUUGUAACUUUACACACAGGGUUCUGAUAUCCAUAAUAUCAAUGAGAAUAAGUAUCUAGAUUCUCUGGCAAGACUAUGGUGCACAGCUUUAGAUAUUUACAGAUGUAUUCUUGGGGAUGCGAUUCUCAUGAUUAUUUACUAGAGUUCUCCUUUUGUUAUAAUACAUGCAUCACCAUUUAUUUAUUUUGGUUUAGGAGAAGUUAUUGAAGUCUAAAUACGUUCCUGUUUCAAUGAACAAUUCUUAAUGUCAUCUUCAGGUGGUACCCAGCUUCGAUUAGUUCAAGGUGCAACCGAGUAAUUAACAAAUUUUACACUUUCAGCCAGAAAAAUUUAGUAUAUAUACUUCUCCUUUUGAAUUACUUCAUCACCAUUGUAUUUGUUUUCAUUAUGAUAUAUAAAAAGUAUAUCUUAUUAGUUAUUUUGUUGUAAAAUUAGCUGAACCAUGCAUAGAGACAGCAUUUCCCGUGUGGUACUGAUACUGAUAUGAUUGUGCUGCAAGCUUGCUGCAGCCUUUCCCGUGUGGUGCUGAUAGAGUCUCCAAUGAUGCAUCAUACAUUCUCUUGAUUUGCAAAAUAACACGAGCUUUUCGUCUCCUUAACCAUCCUGCAGCUAGAAGUUUUCUAAUGCCAUUAUUUUGGAUGGACAUGAUGUACAGAAGGAACUCAUUUGUUAGCGCAUAUUUUCUUGAUCCUAACAGCAAUUAUAAUUACUUUCUGUGUCAAAUCACCACCUACAGUUCACUGAACAAUACAGAUUAGUAAUUUAGCACUUACUAAUGUUUUCAGAGCUGUGGCGAAAAUCAUGUUGCCGGAGAAUCAUAGAGAUCCUGGAUGCUGAGGUAGAGAAGAUGUUCUGCCUGGUUACUGGUUAGGAAUUGCCAACUUCAUUAUCACGUUGUCAUGAUGCUCCAUUGCACCUCUUCAUAUAUCCUGUAGUUUGCUAAAGCAUGAGCUUUUGUGCUGAAAAUUUUGAAAUUUGUAAUGGAUGUGGCUGGGCAGGCUUGCUCCUUUGUGGGAACUUACGUUAU